GAUCCUGGCUCAGAUUGAACGCUGCGGCAUGCCUUACACAUGCAAGUCGAACGGUAACAGGUCUUCGGACGCUGACGAGUGGCGAACGGGUGAGUAAUACAUCGGAACGUGCCCAGUCGUGGGCGUGAUAACUACUCGAAAGAGUAGCUAAUACCGCAUACGAUCUGAGGAUGAAAGCGGGGGACCUUCGGGCCUCGCGCGAUUGGAGGCGGCCGAUGGCAGAUUAGGUAGUUGGUGGGAUAAAAGCUUACCAAGCCGACGAUCUGUAGCUGGUCUGAGAGGACGACCAGCCACACUGGGACUGAGACACGGCCCAGACUCCUACGGGAGACAGCAGUGGGGAAUUUUGGACAAUGGGCGAAAGCCUGAUCCAGCAAUGCCGCGUGCAGGAUGAAGGCCUUCGGGUUGUAAACUGCUUUUGUACGGAACGAAAAGC
rnacentral:rRNA from 1 species